rnacentral:rRNA from 1 species
GACGAACGCUGGCGGCGUGCUUAACACAUGCAAGUCGAACGGAAAGGCCCUGCUUUUGUGGGGUGCUCGAGUGGCGAACGGGUGAGUAACACGUGAGUAACCUGCCCUUGCCUUUGGGAUAACUUCAGGAAACUGGGGCUAAUACCGGAUAGGAGCUCCUGCUGCAUGGUGGGGGUUGGAAAGUUUCGGCGGUUGGGGAUGGACUCGCGGCUUAUCAGCUUGUUGGUGGGGUAGUGGCUUACCAAGGCUUUGACGGGUAGCCGGCCUGAGAGGGUGACCGGCCACAUUGGGACUGAGAUACGGCCCAGACUCCUACGGGAGGCAGCAGUGGGGGAUAUUGCACAAUGGGCGGAAGGCUGAUGCAGCAACGCCGCGUGCGGGAUGACGGCCUUCGGGUUGUAAACCGCUUUCGCCUGUGACGAAGCGUGAGUGACGGUAAUGGGUAAAGAAGCACCGGCUAACUACGUG